rnacentral:rRNA from 1 species
UGGGGAAUUUUGGACAAUGGGCGCAAGCCUGAUCCAGCCAUUCCGCGUGAGUGAAGAAGGCCUUCGGGUUGUAAAGCUCUUUCGCAAGGGAAGAAAACUUACCAUCGAAUAAAUGGUGAGGCUGACGGUACCUUGAUAAGAAGCACCGGCUAACUACGUGCCAGCAGCCGCGGUAAUACGUAGGGUGCGAGCGUUAAUCGGAAUUACUGGGCGUAAAGCGUGCGCAGGCGGUUUUGUAAGUCAGAUGUGAAAUCCCCGAGCUCAACUUGGGAACUGCGUUUGAAACUACAAGACUAGAAUAUGUCAGAGGGGGGUAGAAUUCCACGUGUAGCAGUGAAAUGCGUAGAGAUGUGGAGGAAUACCAAUGGCGAAGGCAGCCCCCUGGGAUAAUAUUGACGCUCAUGCACGAAGCGUGGGGAGCAAACA